CCCAUCUGGUGUUGGUUUUAUGAACAGAGCUUUAAAACCCACUGGAAAGGUCACCAUUGGACCAAAGUGUUCUCCGUGGAGUUUGUGGAGAACACCGAAUUCCUUAACCGAGAACCUCACUUGGUCCCUCAACACCAGCCCCAUAACAAGGAAAGUCCAUCAGCGUUUUCUACUUCUUGAGAAACACAAGGAAGGCCUGGCUCCCAAAACGCAUCCUCACAACGUUUUACAGAGGGAUCAUCCACAACAUCCUGAGCAGCUGCAUCACUGCCUGGUUUAGAAAUUGCACCAUCUAAAGACCCUACAGUGGAUUGGGUCACCACAGCGGAUCAUACGUCUCCAACCAACU